rnacentral:lncRNA from 1 species
UAUCACCGUAUGUCAACGGACCGUCAAGGCCUGUUUCAUCGGACCGCUCUGCCGAUCUCUCGGCGUGGAGGAAACGUAAACAAAGGAGCUGUGCGCACCUGCUUUAAACAGAAGGCAGAAAACAAUGAGCCAGCCAUCAUCGUGCAGGAAGCCGACGCCAAAUGGGCUGCUGCUGAAUCGGUCAGGCAUGCACCAGCUAGGACCAAGAAAAUGGAGCAGUGUGCCUCUUCUCAGGAGUGACUGAGGGGCUGCCACAAGGGGAGAAGGCAAGCAUGUUUCUGAUUACAAGGAUGGACAGUUGGGCUGGGCUAGUUGGUAAGAAUUCAUGUUGAGAAACGGUGCGAAAACCAGACAAAGGAAACAGAACACACAGUACCUUGUCCUGUGUGUUUUCUUAUCCGUGCAUUUUGCGCUGUUUUUCAGCAUGUUUCUGCCUUGAUUUUUCUGUUAG